UAUUGGACAAUGGGGGCAACCCUGAUCCAGCCAUGCCGCGUGAGUGAUGAAGGCCUUCGGGUUGUAAAGCUCUUUUGGCGGGGACGAUGAUGACGGUACCCGCAGAAUAAGCCCCGGCUAACUUCGUGCCAGCAGCCGCGGUAAGACGAAGGGGGCUAGCGUUGUUCGGAAUUACUGGGCGUAAAGCGAGUGUAGGUGGUCAUCCAAGUUGGAUGUGAAAGCCUUGGGCUUAACCCAAGAAAUGCAUUCAGGACUGGAUGACUAGAGGACCGGAGAGGAUAGUGGAAUUCCCAGUGUAGUGGUGAAAUACGUAGAGAUUGGAAGAACACCAGUGCGAAGGCGGCUAUCUGACGUUCUACACUAAGGCUUAA
rnacentral:rRNA from 1 species